AUAAAUUAUUGCUAAAUAUAGUUGAUAAAAUGUUGAAGUUGUUGAUAACAUAUGAAAGCAACCUAAUUCUAGACAUUAAUUGAAAUCUAUUUCAGGAAAGUUUCUUCUGCAACGUUUCAAAUUAGAAUAGGGGUGACAUAAGAAUUUCUUUUCCAUAGAAAUUAACCAAGAUUUCGCUAUUAUUGUAGGUGGUAAUUAACAAG
rnacentral:misc_RNA from 1 species